AGCCUGUGCGUGAUACCGAACGAACUAACAAGAACAUUCUGGAAAGAUUGGCAUAGCGGGUGAUAGCCCCGUAUGUGAAAGUUCAUUCGGCUUACUAAGCGCACGACAAGUAGGGCGGGGCACGUGAAAACCCCUGUCUGAAUAUGGGGGGACCAUCCUCCAAGGCUAAAUACUCAUCAUCGACCGAUAGUGAACCAGUACCGUGAGGGAAAGGACGAAAAGAACCCCGGGAGGGGAGUGAAAUAGAACCUGAAACCGGAUGCAUACAAACAGUGGGAGCUCCCUCGUGGAGUGACUGCGUACCUUUUGUAUAAUGGGUCAGCGACUUACGUUCAGUAGCAAGCUUAACCGAAUAGGGGAGGCGUAGCGAAAGCGAGUCCGAAUAGGGCAUCCAGUUGCUGGGCGUAGACCCGAAACCAAGUGAUCUAUCCAUGGCCAGGAUGAAGGUGCCGUAACAGGUACUGGAGGUCCGAACCCACUAAUGUUGCAAAAAUUAGGGGAUGAGCUGUGGAUAGGGGGUGAAAGGCU
rnacentral:rRNA from 1 species